ACUUCUGCCGGAAGCGCGCGCGCUCCCGUAUAGCGAGGCUGAGCACACAUUUCACUGAUCAGAGUGAGAGCGUCGCGAAAAGUCACAAAAGAAGUGUGUUUUUGGUUGCCAGGGCAAGACAACCCUGCACAGAUUACCAAAAGAGAAACAGCAUUAAGGGACCAGUGGAUGGAGUUUAUUUUUACAGAGCAUCAACGGAGUUGUGCAAGUGUUUGUGUUUGUUCCCUGCAUUUCGAAGAUGCUUGCUUUACAAACAAGGCCCAGUUUGACGACGGAUUUGCACAUCGUUUAUUUCUUAAGGAUAAUGCAGUCCCAACGAAAAAGGGUCACGAUCGUGUGUUGGAACCGCAUGCGACCACAUGCGGACGCCAUUUUACUUCACUGGAAGAGUGGUGAAGGGUCCCACAUCGACUUACCAAACAGAAGUAUGGUUUGGGAAUUAUCACCUUGUUUCCCUCACUCAUAGAUCCCCAAGGGAGGACUGGAUAUGGAUAAAUUAAGAAUUUCUGUCAUUUCAACAUUUCUAUGAUGGCCAAAAACACUGGAUCCUUGUCAUGGCACCUCAAGACAGUGCAAAGCGGGACAAUACCUUCUGGAAAUAAGGACGGUCCAAAAACAGAGGAAAAGGGAGGUCCUUUGCUUGACAGACAGCUGCUGUAUGUUACCAAGAACAUCAGCUAGAUAUUGAUCAAAGUGAAGAGGCUAUCUCUUUGAUUAAUCAUACAAGCGAACGUGAGGUCAUCAUGCAGAAGAUGAAGGCAACGUUGGAAUACAGACAGUGCCUUUUCCAUCACCAGAGGGAUCCACCACCAUUCUCUCUGUUGUUCCUCGAUUCCUGGAAUUUGAGGAUUGAUUCUUCAGGACUUCACACUCCUCUUUGGGUCAGAAACUGCUUCCAAACUUUUGGAAAGGUGGCCAACAGUUUUCAAAGCAAAGGUUAUCAGACUAGGAGAAACCUUGUCUUCCACUCCACUGCUGAAAAUAUUACUGUCAUCUGCCAAAGAGAGCAGAGGAAGCAGCGAGACACAGGAUUCCCCCGGUGAAACUUCCAAUGACUUUGCAGUCUAAUUAUACUAUACAUAGUUAUAGGCAUUUAACAAUGUUCUGUGUUUUUUCAGAAUGGGACAGAGAUAUAUCAUCCUUCCUUCUACUUUUGCAUCUCCUACCACCCCUGGCUUCAGGAAGAAAGAAAAUCCAAAGGAUCAGUAUUUCACAGGCCAUUGACCAUCUGGUGGUGUUUCACAAAGCAUGUAGAAGUAUACAGGAACACCUUGAGCUGGAAGACAAUCGUCAGCCAUACAUUCUUGCCUUAGGGAGCAGCAAGGAAGCCAUCAGUCACUACUUUAUUGUGGUGGAUAAAAAGCUCAUCCCCUGUCAAGAAUCCUCUUCACUGGCAGCCAUUGAUGCACUCUUCAAGGGAUAGUUCGAGGGAAAGGUGUGCAUCGAUAAUAGCCAAAUUACAAGG